AUGUAAACAACAAGAUAGUGAAGAAAACGCCAUGUAACGUGCAUAUAAAAAAACAGAAAACACAUCACCGAAAUUACACAAGUUUUUUUUUAAUCCAAAAAAAAAUAUUUUACAGGGUUUACAACACUUUCUUGAAGACAAAAGAGUUCAGAACCAACAACUACUGCCGUGCCUAAAGUGUUGCAUUGACAGUGAAAAAUGGCUCAUCUGUGUUGGUAGCGCUUACUAGUUGAUAGCAUAUCAGAUGUUAAGGAAGCACUCGUGAACACACUGGAGUGUGUUGCAUUCAGGUGCAAAUGGAGGAGAAAUAAAGGACUGUCCUGCAUAAAUCCUUCUGUGGUCUUCUGCAAUCCAGG